rnacentral:lncRNA from 1 species
CCAGAUAUAGUAAGAGGCGCACUCCUGGGGGCAGGAAUAGGAAAGGUUUCGAAAUUCUAUGAAAGACUAUAUGGCAGGGGAAUCUGAAAGGUUUCUCGCUCAAUCCGAUCUUUAUUCAGUGCCAAGACCUUUAUAAGAUAAGCAAUUAGUUAAAUUCGAUACAUUCGAUAUCCUUCUUAAGCUUCAGAACGAAGAUGGUGGGCUCACGUGGGUAGCUCCCGUCUCCUGUAGCCGCCUUGUUCUCUGUUAGUUCAUAAAGUGUCUGACACAGACGCAAAGUCAUGACAACCAGACUAGACUAAUAACGUUACAAGCAGCCAUGACAACCAGACUAGACUAAUAACGUUACAAGCAGCGCAAGGAAAAGUCUGAACGCUUUCCGCAAAGAUGUUGUUAGUUAGCCCCUUUCGACAAGAAAGUGGGAGAAACUGACGAGGAGUGAGUUCAUAAACAGAACUCUUUCAAACCUUUCUUCGGGUUCCUGCUUCUUCGCUCGGAAACGAGGCAGUGAUAUCGUCGUAUUCUUCCGGCUUGGAUCAGUUGGAUCCGGCUUGAACGCAAGCAACGGUUGGC